AAUCUAGUGACCUAGUGGUUAGAGCAUCUGCCUUUGGUGUGGGAGGUUGCAGGUUUGAACCCUGGCUGAGUUA